AUUCAUACAUACACGUAAUAUGUCUGCGCUCAGAUGAAUGAAUGGCCACAACAAGGAGACAUUUAAGGGCAAACUGUUAUUGAUAACAAAAGCUAAAACUGACAAGUAUAGAUGAUUUUUUCAGGCGUUGUUAAAUUUCUAUGCGUCGCUGUACAAGUGUAUGAUGCAAUUUAUCUUCGCUGACUCCAUGAUCUGUCAGGACGUUGGGAACAAAUUGGACUGAGGAUUUCUCACCGACGAGACACAUUCAUUAUUUAAAAACCACCAAAUCCCGUUGAGUAUGGAUUUUGUUUUUGGGGGAGUGGCGGCCUGUGGGGCUUGUCUAUUUACAAAUCCUCUUGAGGUGGUGAAAACCCGCAUGCAGCUACAAGGAGAAUUGAAGAGCAGGGGGUCAUAUCAAAUCCACUAUCGCAAUGUCUUCCACGCUUUUUACACUAUCGGCAAAGUAGACGGACUUGCUGGUUUACAAAAGGGCUUAGUCCCUGGACUCGUAUACCAAUUUUUCAUGAACGGUGUCAGACUCGGCUCGUAUGCUCUCAUCGAGACCUCCGGUUACAGCCACACGGAUGGACGUGUCAGCGCAGCCAAGACCACCGUUGCGGGGGCCGUGGCUGGCGUGGCGGGCGCGGUGAUGGCGAGUCCCAUAUAUUUGGUAAAGACUCACCUUCAGAGUCAGUCCACCUCAUCUAUAGCGGUCGGACAUCAACAUAAACACCAGGGGAUGAUUCAAGCGCUGGCAGCCAUCCACAAGCAGCAUGGCAUUCUGGGACUGUGGAGGGGCUCUAGUGCAGCGAUACCACGGGUCAGCGUUGGCUCGGCGGCUCAACUGUCCACAUUCUCUACCUCCAAGGAGUUUGUCACAGAUUUACAGAUAUUUCCAGAGGACAGCUGGCUGGUGGCUCUGACCGCUGGUCUGAUCAGCAGUGUAGUGGUGGUGUUGGCCAUGACACCCUUCGACGUGGUCAGUACUCGACUCUACAACCAGCCAGUGGACCACCUGGGCAAGGGAGAGCUUUAUCGGGGCUUUGGAGACUGCUUCUCUCAGACGCUGAGGAAGGAGGGUCCGACGGGGCUCUACAAAGGCCUGGGGGCCUCGUACUUCCGCCUGGGGCCACACACCAUCCUGUCUCUGCUGCUCUGGAAUGAGCUCCGUAAGCUCUACCAGAACCACAGAUAGCCCAGGACACGAGAGGCUGUCAGUUGUAAAAAAAAAUUGGUUACUCAUUACAAUCCCGAGUGACAUGGUUAAAUAUCCUCUAAUUUAAUGAAUGUAGUCUUGAGGGAGGGAAGGGAAAGAGCAAUAGGAAGAUAUGGGAGGGAAGGACAUUCUUCAGGCACUCGAUUUGAAUAACGAUUCAGCUGUCAGCAACAAAGUAUGUACCAAAAUGAUAUUGAACACUUGAAUCCCAUGACUAUGUUUUAACAGGUCUGAUGUGAGACACAGGAAAGAGGUAUAGGGAAAUAUCAAUCAAAUCAAUAUUGCGUGGUCUAUUUAAGAUGAGGCAAGACGGAUUAUCUUGAAACCGACAGGUUGAGAUCUGUAUUUCUAUCACAAACCAUUUUGACUUGUAUCAUGUACUGUUAGUGAACAUCGUUGUCUGUUGUACAUUCCAAACAGCUCUCCACAUUUACGCACUUAUUUUUAUGUUUGAUUUAGUUAUUGUAGUAGCCAUGGAUUGAUUUAUUGUGAAUUAGG